rnacentral:rRNA from 1 species
GACGAACGCUGGCGGCGUGCCUAAUACAUGCAAGUCGUGCGGACCUUGUUGAAAGCUUGCUUUCAAAUGGUUACCGCCGGACGGGUGAGUAACACGUGGGCAACCUGCUUGUAAGAUUGGGAUAACGCCGGGAAACCGGGGCAAAUACCAGAACGUUUUUUCCCCCGCAUGGUCGAAAAAGGAAAGGCGGCUUCGGCUGCCACUUACAGAUGGGCCCGCGGCUCAUUCGCUAGUUGGCGGGGAGAUCGUCCCCCAACGCAACGAUACAUAGCCGACCUGAGGAGGUGAUCGGGCACAAUGGGACUGGGACGCCGCCCGAGCUUCUACGGGAGGCAACAGUUAGGGAUCUUCCGCCAAGGACGAAAGGCGGACGGAGGAACCCCGCGUGGGUGAAGAAGGGCUUCGGGUCGUAAAAAUGUGGUGCCGGGGGAGAACAAGAGCCGUUCGAACCGGGCCGCACCUUGACGGUACCCGGCCAGAAAGCCACGGCUAACUACGUG